CUUUCACCAGAGUAAAUGUUCCCAUAGAAUGGCUGCGAUGAAUUUUUUCCACGGCGAAGCAUGGCUGGUAUUAAGGGCGAUACAUGUUAGAUUAGCACAAUACAUGGCGUAAAACAGUUGACAGGGCUUCAAAGGUCUUCUUGGAGAUGCAUUACAAUCGGCACAAGCGCUUGACAAAUGAUAUUGCUUAGACCAUGCUAUUUCACACUGUGGAAAUUUUUAUCUGACCUGGGGUGUUGGGAAGGAAGGAGCAGAAAGUGUGGUUUAUGAAGCUGUUUUGGAUGGAAACAAGGUUGCUGUGAAAAAACCCAUUUUGUCUACCUCUGAUCACAUUGAUAAAUUCCACAAGGAAUUGCAAAUGCUAUGGUCAUUUCUACUCUCUCUCUCUCUCCAUAUAUGCAUUAGCUCAUUUUGUCCUAUUUAGCACACAAAUAUUCUCCACCUUUUCUCAUUUUCUAUCUCUGCCUUACGUGAAUUCCAAAUUAGCAAAUCCCCUUUUUGUGUGUAUAUACAUGCGUGUGUGUGUCUCACUAUGUAAGUAACCGACUAUAGUGCGAUGAUCAAGGCCUGCCCUGAGUUGUUGGAGCCCUAAGCGGACUCUUGAAAUUGGAGCCUUUUAUAUAUAAUCAUUAAAAAAAUUGCAUGUAAAAUAGUAAGUAUUUACAUUUUAUAUAUAUAUAUAUAUAUAUUUAAAUUUGCUAUUACCCACACAAAUUUAAUUACUAAAAUUUACGUACACAAAUUAAGACAUGAGGAAAAAUCAUUACAAGAGCUCAAAAUGAUAAGAAUAUUGUCUUGUUAGUUUUAUAAUUUAACCAAAUUCAGUUUACAAAAAGGUAUCAGUUAAAUAAUACCAAAUAAAAAUUGAACCAACUACAACAUUGUAUCAGUUAAAUAUUACUUUUCUCACAUUUUUUAAUGCAAAAUUACUAAUUAAGCUUGCAUAAUCUAUAAGGACCCUUUAGUUUAGAUUGUGAACUUAGAUUAGUUGUACUGAAUCCUUAUUUUUGAGCCUACUAAUGCUAUAAGAGUUAUUAAUUAGGGGCCCCUAAAUUUUGUUAAAAUUUGGAGGCCCUUGGUGGUCUUGCCUCAAGGUUGGGGCUGGCCAUGAUGCAUUUGGGGGAGGAGAGGGAUAUUGGUUCUGGAAAAGGAUGUUGAGGUGGUUUUAGGUAGUUUUACCAUUUUAUCAUUCUGUGCAAAUCAAAAUAGAAUCCAAAGAUGUUUGAGCACGGGGUAAUUCAGGCAUACUAAAAAUCUGUCAGG